CUGCGGGGACACGGCUGAGGGGCCACGGCCGCAGGAAGCGGGGCUGAGGGGCCCGGCCUCAGGGACGCGGCCGCAGGAAGCGGGGCUGCGGGGACACGGCCGCACGUGACGCGCCCACGUCCGCCUCCGCCGGAAAGGAGCCCGCAGCUCUGCGCGGCUGAUGAGGACCAGCCCCUCUUGGUUGUUGCAGCUCUACCGGCUCUCAGCCAGCAGCUGGCCCUGCCUGCCAUCUGCAAACACUCUAGGCUUCUCACAGUCUUCUUCCACAUUUGGGAGGCCACAGCUACAAGCCAAGCCUUUGCUGCAUCUCUUAACCCAGAGGAGGAUCAGCUAUCGUCCUUCCCAGAAGGAAGAGUGACCUCCCCCCCACCUCUUUCUCUAAAUUGUUUGCAAAGCAAAAGGAGGGAGCACUACAGAUUCUGUUUGUGAAGUGAAGGCCUGAGUGGUUGUCUCAGAAUGGACUGAAGGACCAGAGCGGUGCUCACCAUCCCAGGGAGGACACCAAGUGGCUGCAGCAGCAGGAUCAGAAGGCAGGUCAUGGAUGAGGUUUUGAACACCAAGGUAGGGCUGUGUAGGUUGUGGGUUGUAUGUGGUAUGUGUGUUCUGGUGUCACAUGAGUACUGAAAAGGCUUCACGUGGUGUGCUGCUGCUGUGGGAUAGGGGUACCUAUAGCCAGCCCCUGUGCACGUGUCAUGGUUGCCCUGCCUUGAUUCCCAACACCUCUGCAUUCAGGAGCUCCCCAGGCUGUGCUUCACAGUGAGCCUUUCUGGCACAAGAGGUACAAGGGGCAGAGUUCACAUAUGCCUGGAAUUAGAAAUGGUGGCUCUGUGUCCUGAAUGCUCACCCUUGUUUGCAGCCUGGGCCUCUUGUUAACAGCAGGUAUCAGCUCCCUGAACUGCUCUGAAGCACCUUUAUCUCCUAUUUCUGGGUCCUGUGCAGCAAAAGCAGGAUGUGUUCUCACAGGGCGUUUUCAGCCUCUGCUCUCAGCAGGCUGCAGAGCUAUUUGAUCAACACAGGCUUUGACAGUCAGGCAUCAUUAAUUUUCCACAACCUACUACUUGAAACUCCUGAAAGGAUGGGCUGUCACUGUUCCUUGCAGCCCUUGCUGGCCUGAACUGCCCUCUGUACUGUCCUGCUGCAGCACAGGAGGGCUGCAUGCCUUGAGCCACUGCUCUCCUCCUUUGGGCCUGAGAUUUAAAUCCUGUCAGCUCUGGCAGGGAAAAAAAGGAAUUCUCAAUAUAGAAUUGCUUCUUUUUAAAGGACGAGAUAAACUGUAAUGCAUUAAUGGUGGAAGUGAUCAUAUACAUUUCAGGCUUAGUGAGUACCCAUUGUCUUAAAUUAAUCCUAAUAAGCACUGUUUCCCCCAGCAUGUGCCAUUUUAACAGUCACUGUGGAGAGCUCUGCUUCCUAAAACUAUCAAAAAUGAGAUGACACCCUCCUCUUUUGGAAAGCAUAAUUGAUAAAAUGUGACAAAACAUGGUUAUUGCUUAUUUGUAAGUGGGAUCCUUUAAAAAGUACUCUCUUACAUGGGUUGGGUUAAAUGACUUGCUGAUUAAGACAUCUACAUGAAAUAUGAAACUGCCAUUAUCUGGCUCCUGUUAAAAUUGAAAACCAGGAUUCUCUUUUGUGCAGAUUAAGUAAAAACUUCUAUGCUGUUUUAGAGUACAAUAUAAAUGUAGUAAGUAAAAGCUAGAGGUAUAUUUGAAUGACAAUUCACACAUAAUGUCUUAAGAAGAGAUUCUAAUGUGCUUGGGAUGAAAUUAGAAGGACAUGUUUGACACACUAAUAGACAGAUUUGAGUGCUUCCUGAGUGUUCAGAUAUAGCUUCUUCUGCUGAAAUUCCCAAAAUUACACUGCUGGCUAUUUCUGCUUUUACACAUACCCCAUUUUUACUCUAUGAAUUAUCUGCACAAUCUAACUAAAAAUACACUUCCAAAGCUUUAUCUGAGUCCCUUUCCACACACUUUGUUGGAACCCAGAGCCAAGGCCUGUGAAACUGGGACAAAUUUUAAAAUUGAACACGACUCUUCUUCUAAGUUUCCUCACUCAUUCUUUUGUCUGAGAAACCUCUACUCAGCAUGCAUUCCAGGAUACUGAAGUAACUAUUUUGCAGUUAUUUUAAAUACAUAGAUUUUUGUUAAUAGGAAAAUUAGUGCUAGAAUUUUCAACCAGAGCCUGGUUGAAAGCUCAUUAAAGUCUUUCACUGAGCAGUUAUUUCAAUGAGCUUAUAAUGAGACACUUUAUGUUCAUAUGAGCUUCACACUAAAACCAGUAGUGAGUGGUAUAAUACAAGAUCUGCCUGCAAAUCCCAAACCUGACAGUAUUUCCUGAAUGAGAUAAUGGCAAAUGAACUGCUGUUCAAAAUAAUUCACCUGAGAGUUUAAGUGGGAUGUGAUAUGGAAAUACUGGCUGGACAAGAGAGAAGCAAAAGUUUUACUAUAGCUUUUGAUCAUUGCACUGAAGAUACGUUUUAGCAGAUGAGUGGUAAUGGAUGUGGGUCAAAGUGAGGAACUAAGAGAUGCUCCUCUUCCUUUCGCAUAAAAAGGGGUUUGCAGGGAAGUUGGAAAGGAAAAAGUUACUGGGUAACAAUGCUGUCAUUAUAAUAACCCUAGGUUGUACCUUGGUCUUUUUUGUUAACAAACCAUGCCAUAUACUGAUUCUGUGCAACCACGAAAUUUAAUAAAUCAUUUUUCACAAUUGCA
ensembl:lncRNA